UACGUAGGUGGCGAGCGUUGUCCGGAUUUACUGGGCGUAAAGAGCGCGCAGGCGGUCGGAUCAGUCGAAUGUGAAAGCCCCCGGCUUAACUGGGGAGGGUCAUUCGAUACUGUUCGACUCGAAGGCAGGAGAGGGAUGCGGAAUUCCAGGUGUAGCGGUGAGAUGCGUAGAUAUCUGGAGGAACACCGGUGGCGAAGGCGGCAUCCUGGACCGGCAUUGACGCUGAGGAGCGAAAGCCAGGGGAGCAAACGGG
rnacentral:rRNA from 1 species